rnacentral:tRNA from 2 species
AGCUCAAUGGUUGGAGCCGUCCGCUCAUAACCGAUUACUGCAGGUUCGAAUCCUGCCGGGCCCA